rnacentral:tRNA from 1 species
GGUGAUAGACCUCAGUGGAGAGAGGAUUGGCUUUGCACACCAGAAGCCCUGGUUUCUAUCCCCAGUACCACCU